CAAGGAGACCCAGCAUUUUCUGAGCUUGGGGACAUGAAGGAACCAGUUAGCUUAUUUUGAUUACGUGACUGUGAGUGAUGCUGUCCAGGUCGGCUCCAGGCAAUGGACCCUGAGGUGGCAGAUGGCUGUCCAUGCUAAAGGAUGCCUCUGCUCCACUGCUCAAGGAGUGGAAGCAGCCACUACUCACUCCCUCGAGAUGAGUGAGACGGUGCUCAGCUCAGUUGAGAGUGGUCUGUGCGUGCGUUUUCUCUGGAGGAAGCCCAGCAACACCACGCCUGGAUUGGAGAUUGUACGUGAAGAGAAUCAGAAGCCCCAUCCCUUGACUACUGAGCCUCACCUGGUAACACCCACCUGCCAAGCUGACUGGACCUCAAGGAGUGUCACCGAGAAUUCCUGGGGAUGAUACAGCAAGGGCAGAGCCAGCUUGCCAACAGGUGCUCACACCUGGGACCCCAGGAGGGCCGCCCCACCAGGAAAAGGACACAAUCAAGCCCCAUUUGAGGUUCAGGAUUAAGAAAGCAGUAAGCGUCAGCUCCUCUGGAGGGCUCGCCCU
rnacentral:lncRNA from 1 species